UACGAAGGGGGCGAGCGUUGUUCGGAUUUACUGGGCGUAAAGGGCGCGCAGGCGGCUCAUUUUGUCAGGCGUGAAAGCCCCGGGCUUAACCUGGGAGGUGCGUUUGAUACGGAUGGGCUAGAGUUCGGGAGAGGAGAGUGGAAUUCCCAGUGUAGAGGUGAAAUUCGUAGAUAUUGGGAAGAACACCGGUGGCGAAGGCGGCUCUCUGGACCGAGACUGACGCUGAGGCGGCGAAAAGCGUGGGGAGCAAACAGGG
rnacentral:rRNA from 1 species